UAUCUGGUUGAUCCUGCCAGUAGUCAUAUGCUUGUCUCAAAGAUUAAGCCAUGCAUGUCUAAGUAUAAGCGAAUUUAUACAGUGAAACUGCGAAUGGCUCAUUAAAUCAGUUAUAUAGUUUAUUUGAUAGUACCUUACCAAAGGAUAACCCUGGUAAUUCUAGAGCUAAUACUUAUUAAAAACCCCGACUGUUUGGGAGGGGUGUAUUUAUUAGAUAAAAAAUCAAUGCCUUCGGGCUCUUUG
rnacentral:ncRNA from 1 species